rnacentral:rRNA from 1 species
GAUGAACGCUAGCUACAGGCUUAACACAUGCAAGUCGAGGGGAAACGAUAUUGGAAGCUUGCUUCCGAUAGGCGUCGACCGGCGCACGGGUGAGUAACGCGUAUCCAACCUGCCCAUCACUUGGGGAUAACCUUGCGAAAGUAAGACUAAUACCCAAUGACGUCUCUAGAAGACAUCUGAAAGAGAUUAAAGAUUUAUCGGUGAUGGAUGGGGAUGCGUCUGAUUAGCUUGUUGGCGGGGUAACGGCCCACCAAGGCGACGAUCAGUAGGGGGUCUGAGAGGAAGGUCCCCCACAUUGAGACUGAGACACGGUCCAAACUCCUACGGGAGGCAGCAGUGAGGAAUAUUGGUCAAUGGGCGAGAGCCUGAACCAGCCAAGUAGCGUGCAGGAAGACGGACCUAUGGGUUGUAAACUGCUUUUAUAAGGGAAUAAAGUGGGAGUCGUGACUCCUUUUGCAUGUACCUUAUGAAUAAGGACCGGCUAAUUCCGUGCCAGCCGCCGCGGUAA